AGAGCGAACGCUGGCGGCAGGCCUAACACAUGCAAGUCGAGCGCCCCGCAAGGGGAGCGGCAGACGGGAGAGUAACGCGUGGGAACGUACCUUUUGGUUCGGAACAACACAGGGAAACUUGUGCUAAUACCGGAUAAGCCCUUACGGGGAAAGAUUUAUCGCCGAAAGAUCGGCCCGCGUCUGAUUAGCUAGUUGGUGAGGUAAUGGCUCACCAAGGCGACGAUCAGUAGCUGGUCUGAGAGGAUGAUCAGCCACAUUGGGACUGAGACACGGCCCAAACUCCUACGGGAGGCAGCAGUGGGGAAUAUUGGACAAUGGGCGCAAGCCUGAUCCAGCCAUGCCGCGUGAGUGAUGAAGGCCCUAGGGUUGUAAAGCUCUUUUGUGCGGGAAGAUAAUGACGGUACCGCAAGAAUAAGCCCGGCUAACUCGUGCCAGCAGCCGC
rnacentral:rRNA from 1 species